rnacentral:misc_RNA from 1 species
CCAGGAGUCUGCGCCCUCGGGCGCAACCCCCCACCCCACUGUGUACGCUCUGAAUAGAAUUGGUUGCCUUGGCGGCGAGCCGGCCCGCCGGUCGGCCCCCGCCGGGGGGACUCUGUCGAAACCCUUGCGAAACAGGCGCGUCUGAGUUAUAGAAUUUAAUAAGUCA